GAUCCUUAAGGUAAACUCUCACAUGAAUACAUCAUGAGACUAAAUCUCCUUCCAUAUGAUUCAAAGCAUGUUAUGAUGGUGGGAGUGAAUCAGGUUACUAGAAUAAUGGUUUGCUAAUUAAUUUACAUCAUGUGGAGUCUCAAGACACAUGGGUACGCCGACUCCUAUUGCUUGACAAAUGUAUAUCUGCGGGUUUUCUUUAAUUGUAUGAAGAAGUUACAGUUAGGUGUUGACCUUUUUUUUGCCUAGACACAGCACCUCCAUGCACCUUUUUCCGUUUAUCUUUGCUGCGCCUUUUUAGUUUUAAUUGUUGUUUACCUUCAUCCGACCAAAUUGAGCUAUCGGAGGUGCUGCGAUCUUUUGGCAAACAUGCUCUGUAUUCUAUGGUUUGGCAUCUACAGGAUGCCAUCUCAGGUCAUGGAUCCACUGUGGCCGCUUCGUCCUUCACUGAGGACCUUCUCAUCCCCACAGAGAUCAGAGGUAACCCACACAGUUGGAAAUAGUUGCUCAAGUUCUUGCUUCAACAAAUUUUGUUCCGGAUAUAAUUUAUGGCCAUGCCAUGUAUUAAUUAUUCUUAUAAUGGUCAUCUGAAUUUGCAAAGAAAAUUAUAUUUUGGAAGCAGGAACCCUUACCUCAUGGCGUAUCAUGGCUCCUAAUGUUAUACUUCGAAUAGUUGAGCAGAAAACUGGCGUAUCAUGGCUCCUAAUGUUAUAGAGCAAGUGGACAGACUAUUUCCCCCUCCCACCCCCCUCUAAACUUUGUUUUCUAGGUUUGGUUGGCUACAAAAGGCUAGAUUCUGGUAUAUAUUCGUUGGUGCAGAAGCUAGAAGCUCAUUGAUAUUAUUUUUCUUGCCAAACAUAUGAAGGAUUGUGCAUAAAACUUCCAGCUUGAAAUCUACAUCUGGGUUACAAGCUUUGUCCAGAAUUUAAGAACAUCGCUGUGGACAUUUAGAUAUUUUUGUAGCAUUCUUCAGGGUCUUGACUUAAUUUCUUUUCACACAGUAAAAUAUCAAUUAUAUGUUGUACAGUAGUAGUAGUGUGAAUACUAUGUACUCAAGUUUAUUGAAGUCAAAACAGGAAAGGAGAGCAGAGUUCAGGGCAUGUUCAGCUCCAUCCAUGCAUCAAGGGAAAUAUAUACGAGGCAAAGGAAUUACGUGUUCUGCUAGAUGACAUAGUACAAGGUUCAGCAGCGACGACAUGAUCUCAAACAUGGCACUGAGUACAAGGCAAAGUUAUGUGGUGGGUCGGAUGGAGAGCUUGGCGCGGUGAUGUGGCAGGCUGCUCUACAGUGGCACUAAUGGAGAGCUCGGUCAACGAUGACGGGACGACCGACUGAUCUGCGGCAGCGUGGAAGGAGGGCUCGGCGGUCGACACGGCGGCUCGAUCCGCUGUUCUGCGACGUUUCGGAGAACUUCUUGUACUGGUGUGUGUGUAUGCAUAGGUGCCGUACUAUCCUGGGCGCUCACUCCCCCAGGAUCCCACAAGUUUGCAUAGAGCUCGGACGUCGGUGGCGGCCUGGCACGCUAAUCUGCCGCCUCCACAUGAGGAGUCGUGAGAUUAGUGCAUCACAUUCAAAAGUCGCCGCUCCGUGAUUAGGGCAUUGCAUUCAGGCAUUCAGUAGAUUAGAAGACAUAUUUAGCUAGCACUGGGAUCCAUCGUCAUUGUAGGGCCUUGAAUCUUUUCAAUCCUUGCCAAGACAGUUCUUGCCAUGGACGACGGGUCUCUCCGUGUGGUCUUGGUCCAAAAGCUAAAAUAGGGAAUAAGAUGUGCCUUGCCGUGUGGAGUGUUGGGUAUCUUUUGCACUUGCUCCAUCAGCUGCAGAAACUAUAGCCCAAAUGCAGCAUACUGCUACUAUUUCAUAUCAUUGAUUGAUGAUUUGUUUUUUCAUAAUUGAAUUGGCGAAUGAUGAAAAGGUGUAAUGUUCA